AAUCAACGCUGGCGGCGUGCCUCAGACAUGCAAGUCGAACGAUUAAACUUUCCUUCGGGAAAGAUAUAAAGUGGCGCACGGGUGAGUAACACGUAAGUAAUCUACCUUCGAGUGGGGAAUAACGUUCGGAAACGAACGCUAAUACCGCAUAAUGCAGCGGCACCUAAUGGUGACAGUUGUUAAAGGAGCAAUUCGCUUGAAGAGGAGCUUGCGGCAGAUUAGCUAGUUGGUAAGGAACGGCUUACCAAGGCUACGAUCUGUAACCGGUCUAAGAGGACGGUCGGUCACACUGACACUGAAUAACGGGUCAGACUCCUACGGGAGGCAGCAGUCGGGAAUUUUGGGCAAUGGGCGAAAGCCUGACCCAGCAACGCCGCGUGAAGGAUGAAGUAUUUCGGUAUGUAAACUUCGAAGAAUGGGAAGAAUCAAUGACGUACCAUUUAUAAGGUCCGGCUAACUACGUGCCAGCCGCCGCAGUAAG
rnacentral:rRNA from 1 species